rnacentral:rRNA from 1 species
AUGGAUAGUGAUGAUGUGUGGAACAAAUAUGUCCAGGCUAAUCCGAAGGCAGCUUGUUACAAGAACAAAGAAGUGAAGAAUUGGGAGGCAAUAUUAACAAUAUACUCCAAAGAUCAUGCAACCGGUGAUGGUGCAAUGACAGGUGCUGAAAGUGCAGCGCAACCAAUAGAACUAGAUGAAGUAGUCGUCGAAGCCUCUCCGGAAUUGCCACCAAAAAGGCAGCGAACAGGUGAUGCUAUCUUGUGCAUGCUUGGAGAAAUGAAGGGUUCUUUUCAAGAUGCUAUGAAAUCACUUGAGCCACUAGAACUGCCCAAGGUUACUCCUCUUGAAAUCCUUGCUGCCCUUGAAAAGAUCCCAGAUUUGGCUCGUUCAGACAUGUUACGAGCAUAUGGCAAACUCAUCCUUAGUGAACGUUUAUUCCAAGCGCUUAUGGAGUUGCCCAUGGAGUUUAGGAAGGAGUGGCUGUUGAUGCUCAACGAGAAGAACAAUGUUUGA